rfam:Spinacia oleracea cultivar SynViroflay scaffold78747.1, whole genome shotgun sequence.
AACCUGUUAGCUCAAAUGGUAAAACACUAUACAGAUGCAUAGGGGAUGUAGGUUCGAUUCCUACAUAGGUUG